GGUUGGUCCAAUGGUAGUGGGUGUUCAGAACUUAUUAACAGUUAGUGUCACUAAAGUUGGUAUACAACCCCCCACUGCUAAAUUUGAACGGCUUAAA
rnacentral:Y_RNA from 1 species